rnacentral:rRNA from 1 species
GACAGAGGGGGCAAGCGUUGCUCGGAAUCACUGGGCGUAAAGGGCGCGUAGGCGGGAUGGCAAGUCGGUCGUGAAAUCCUUCGGCUCAACCGAAGAACGUCGGCCGAUACUGCCGUUCUUGAGGGAUGCAGAGGAGAUUGGAAUUCCCGGUGUAGCGGUGAAAUGUGUAGAGAUCGGGAGGAACACCGGUGGCGAAGGCGGGUCUCUGGGCAUCUCCUGACGCUGAGGCGCGAAAGCGUGGGGAGCGAACCGG